AAAUACUUUUGUGUAAAAUCAAAGAAAUGGAUAAGGAAAAGGUAACAGUUGAAGAUGAAAAACAGGAAGAAUUAGACAAAAUGGAGUCAGAAACUGUAGAAAGUCCAGUUCCUCUGUCUGGUGUUCCAAAUGAAGGAAAGAAACCAACUUGCAUAAUUGUACUUGGAAUGGCAGGUUCAGGAAAAACAACAUGGGUUCAAAGAAUUACUGCUCAUCUACAUUCUAGAAAAUGUAUGCCAUAUGUUGUUAAUCUUGAUCCAGCUUGUUUAGAAGUACCAUACCCUGUGAAUAUUGAUAUACGAGACACCGUGAACUAUAAGGAAGUCAUGAAACAGUAUAAAUUAGGUCCAAAUGGAGGAAUAAUCACUUCAUUAAAUUUAUUUUCUACAAAAUUUGAUCAAGUUCUAAAAUUUAUUGAGAGAAGAAGUGCUCAACAAGAGUUUGUCAUCUUUGAUACACCAGGACAAAUUGAAGUAUUUACAUGGUCUGCUUCAGGAACUAUCAUAACAGAGUCACUUGCUUCUCUGUUUCCUACAGUUAUUGUAUAUGUUAUGGACAUAAACAGAAAUGUCAACCCUGUAACAUUUAUGGCAAAUAUGUUAUAUGCCUGUAGUAUUGUAUAUAAAACUAAACUUCCAUUUGUGGUUGCAAUGAACAAGAUUGAUGUUGUGGAUCAUCAUUUUGCUCUUGAUUGGAUGCAAAAUUUUGAAUCAUUUCAAGAAGCAUUGCAGAAUGAAACAUCUUAUAUCUCAAAUUUAACGAGAUCGAUGAGUUUGGUCUUGGACGAGUUUUACAGUACUUUACAAGCUGUUGGUGUAUCAGCUGUUACUGGAGUUGGAACAGAAGAAUUUUUCAAAGCUGUGUUAAUUGCAAGAAAUGAAUAUGAAACAAUUUAUAAGACUGAAUAUGAACAGUUACUUAAGGAAAGGGAAGAAGCAAGAAAGGCUGAACAAGAACAACAAUUAGCUAAUUUGAAAAGGGAUUUGGGAAAAGGAAAAGACAUAACUUCUAUGUUUUAUACAGAACCCAGAUCUUCAGAAGUAUAUUUAUGUGCUGGAUCAGAUCAGGAAGAUACUUCUGAUGAAGAAAAAAGGCCAGAUUAUGAUAGUAAUGGUCAAGACCCUUUAGACUCGGCCUUCCACUUGUACAGUACAUUCUUCAACAUUCUGUUAAUUUGAGAUAUGUUGUUGGCUUGCAUCUAACAUUAUCCCUUCAAUCUAUUUUUAAUUAUUUUGCAAACUUUUGAGGAACAGGAGGAAGAAGAAUCAUUUAGAAAUUUUGUUGCUAAUUGGAAAAGUAGAAAAACACCAAAUACAUAGUUAAUAACAAAAUUUUAUGUAUAUAAUAUGUUAUAAAAAGUUUUUAAAUACAAAUAAAUUUUAUUUUU